CGCACAUUGCGCCCGCCAGCACUCUGGCGGGCAUGCCUGUCCGAGCGUCAUUAACACCACUCGGGACCCUUUGGUCCCGGCGUUGGGGACCGGCCACGCGCCGGCCCCGAAUUAUAGUGGCGGUCGUCACGCGACUCCCCUGUGCAGUAGCGAUACAACGCAGAGGGCCUAGCGGGUCAACCACGCCGUAAAACCCCCAACUUUAUGAUGUUGACCUCGGAUCAGGUAGGAAUACCCGCUGAACUUAA
rnacentral:misc_RNA from 1 species